AUUUUUGAUAUUGGUCCAGCAUCAAAGGAGAAGUCCAGUCGAUUUCAACACGUUGCUCUGUUAUUUGUAAAUUUGGAGUGCUGUCAGUAGCAAGAAAAACGA